rnacentral:lncRNA from 1 species
UGAAUUUUAUUCUAAUUUAUUUUUUUUUUCUAAUAUCUUUUAUUCUAAUUUGCUAAAUAAGUCAGACUUAGUUAAUCAGCAGUCACUCCUGAAUCCAGGCUGUGGAUGUCACAGUCCUGCACUCUGAGAACAUCGUGAGGAACAGUUCCAAGGAUCUUCAAGCACUCUGUAAAUAUGAAUUCCAUCAUUCACACUCUGGAGCGAUGAAUCCAGCAUUAUACCUACUUUACAGUUUGGGUUUACCACGUGAUAAGCUCAAGGUCACAGAGAAAAGAAGCUUGGAAUAAACCAGCAUAUAACUCCUGGUCCCUCUUGGUUGGCAUUCUUUCCUACUUCUAUGCUUGAGCUUAAUGACUG